rnacentral:rRNA from 1 species
UACGGUAGGGGGCAAGCGUUGUCCGGAAUUAUUGGGCGUAAAGAGCGCGUAGGCGGUCCGAUAAGUCGGCUGUGAAAGUCAGGGGCUCAACCCUUGGAAGCCGGCCGAUACUGCCGGGCUAGAGUCCGGAAGAGGUGAGUGGAAUUCCGUGGUGUAGCGGUGAAAUGCGCAGAUAUCAGGAGGAACACCGAUGGCGAAGGCAGCUCACUGGGACGGUACUGACGCUGAGACGCGAAAGCGUGGGGAGCAAACAGG